rnacentral:rRNA from 1 species
GAGUUUGAUCCUGGCUCAGGAUGAACGCUGGCGGCGUGCCUAACACAUGCAAGUCGAACGGGGUCUUAGUACGGAAGUUUUCGGAUGGAAGGAUUAAGACUUAGUGGCGGACGGGUGAGUAACGCGUGGGUAACCUGCCCUGUACAGGGGGAUAACAGUUGGAAACGGCUGCUAAAACCGCAUAACAUGGAGAUACCGCAUGAUAUUUCCAUCAAAUAUUUAUAGGUACAGGAUGGGCCCGCGUCUGAUUAGCCAGUUGGCAGGGUAAUGGCCUACCAAAGCGACGAUCAGUAGCCGGCUUGAGAGAGUGACCGGCCACAUUGGGACUGAGACACGGCCCAAACUCCUACGGGAGGCAGCAGUGGGGGAUAUUGCACAAUGGGGGAAACCCUGAUGCAGCGACGCCGCGUGAGUGAAGAAGUAUUUCGGUAUGUAAAGCUCUAUCGGCAGGGAAG